UCUGGUGACUGAUCCCCCGCUGUUUUCUCCUUCUCUCUCGCCGCCAGCCCAAAUUGUUCGGUACCGUCAUUACAUUGCGGUACCUGGGCACUUCAUCACCUGCCAGAAGUGCCCCCUGGGUGCACAUGUCCGGUCAACACAGGCGCGAUGAGGUGUGGUCGCGCGUGUGUACUUUGAAAACAAAGAGAGACGGAAAACAAGGCCGGGCUGCCAUGACUACCCCGAACAUGGCGACUACUACGGGUGGAAAGAAGAAAUCGGCAACGGUGUCCGUACGUAUAGACUACAAUAUGGCAUGAGGUUUCCCGGGACGCUUCCGGGACCUGGCCCGACAACUCCGCCAGGCCAUCCCGGGAGCGGAGGUGGUGGGCAAGAUCAUCAGCAAGCCAGGUGCCUUCGAGGUGUACGUGAACAAGAAGCUGUACUACUCCAUGCUGGAGAAGAGGCAGUUUCCUCAUAUCAACCAGCUUGUCCGUGCGAUCAAGAAGCACCUGUCUGAAGCUCAGUCUCCCGCCGCGGACCUCAGUAGUUCCGAAGCCCUUCCUUCUGUGACUACCAAGCAGCUCUCUCCAGCUUAGACUUGGAGCAAUGGUCAAACGCAAACGUAACCCACAUACCACAUAAUAUUGAAUGAAUGGAGACACAAUCAAGAGGCAAAGGUUUAAAUUGAUGAGGCACUUGGGGAAAAUGGUGUAAAGCCCUUCUAUGACAGCAUGGUCUGAAGGAGACGACUGUCUCAAGAUCAAGCUCGAUAAAUAUGGGCGAAUACAAUAUUCUUGCCUUCGACUGUUCUUCAUCAAUUUAUGUAACAUAACCAGAUUGUUUUAUCAAAUGUAAUUUGCUUUGGACUUAUGUACAUGUAGUAUUUAGAUAUGCAUCCUACAUCUGUAAUUAGUGUAAAGACAAGCUACUCACCAAGCAGGUACUCACCAGGUUGUUGUCACAUGAUACAUAUGCUGCGUUUUUAAAAAACGCCAAAUUUGAUAAAGGUCACAAUUUUCCCACAACAGCCUCUGCUUGGAGAGUAAAGAUAAGUAAGACUGAAGCAUUCAGACCUCCUUGAUAUGCCGUAUUAGAAUCUCUGCAAGAAAUUGCUGGCUCUAGGGGUGGGUACCGGU